rnacentral:lncRNA from 1 species
AAUUAGAUCCCACAUGAGUGACAUCAUAUGACGCUUGUCUUUGUCUGACUUACUUCACUAAGUGUGAGUCCUUUUUGAUUCUCUGAAUCAUCUGGGCUCGAGGAGGUCACUGCAAAUCCCUCCAUCAGGAAGCUGAGGUUGGACCUCCUUUUCCUCUCCCUAUGGCCUGAGACUCCAGCCCUGGUAUUUUCUGUGAAUAUAAAAUCCAUUAUUUUGCCAACACUCCUCUGUUCUCAGACCUUGGAAAGUUACUUGAGAAUGAAUCUUCAACCCCUUCAAAGUAAGUAAAUGUGUUUUUGCUCUCAAAAGGGAGGAAAGACAUGAGACAGAGAAAUGUAAUGAGCACUUGUCUUCCGGAUCAAAAGCAGCGUGGGCGUGAGCAUCAUCAGAGUCAUUCUAGCAGGCACAGGGACGCUCAUCCCGACUACAGAGCUGACUACUGUGUCCACCCCGGGAACGAAGUGUCCCAUUCUGAAGGUAUUUUGUGAUCAUGGUUCUCUCCCUGCUGAAAGCCUACAUUGCCUUCUCUCUCUCUGUGUUUGGGUACAGAGUGACCUGUUUUGUCAUCAGGUAAGUUUUCGGGACCUGAUUGGGGUUCAAAUGAGUUGAGUCUGUGUUUUUGUUUCUCUCACUGUCUCUAUCCUCCUCUUCAGACUGAUGAGCAGGUUCAGUUCAGUUCAGUUGCUUAGUCGUGUCCAACUCUUUGCAAUCCCAUGAGUCACAGCAUGCCAGGCCUCCCUGUCCAUCACCAACUCCCGGAGUCCACCCAAACUCAUGUGCAUCGAGUCGGUGAUACCAUCCAACCAUCUCAUCCUCUGUCAUCCCCUUCUCCUGACUUCAAUCUUUCCCAGCAUCGGGCUCUUUUCAAAUGAGUCAGCUCUUCGCAUCAGGUAGCCAAAGUAUUGGAGUUUCAGCCUCAGCAUCAGUCUUUCCAAUGAACAGCCAGGACUGAUCUCCGUUAGGAUGGACUGGUUGGAUCUCCUUGCAGUCCAAGGGACUCUCAAAGACUUCUCCAACACCACAAUUCAAAAGCAUCAACUCUUCGACGCUCAGCUUUCUUCACAG